rnacentral:rRNA from 1 species
AGCGAACGCUGGCGGCAGGCUUAACACAUGCAAGUCGAGCGGGCGUAGCAAUACGUCAGCGGCAGACGGGUGAGUAACGCGUGGGAACGUACCUUUUGGUUCGGAACAACACAGGGAAACUUGUGCUAAUACCGGAUAAGCCCUUACGGGGAAAGAUUUAUCGCCGAAAGAUCGGCCCGCGUCUGAUUAGCUAGUUGGUGAGGUAACGGCUCGCCAAGGCGACGAUCAGUAGCUGGUCUGAGAGGAUGAUCAGCCACAUUGGGACUGAGACACGGCCCAAACUCCUACGGGAGGCAGCAGUGGGGAAUAUUGGACAAUGGGGGCAACCCUGAUCCAGCCAUGCCGCGUGAGUGAUGAAGGCCCUAGGGUUGUAAAGCUCUUUUGUGCGGGAAGAUAAUGACGGUACCGCAAGAAUAAGCCCCGGCUAACUUCGUG